AUUGAACGCUGGCGGCAUGCCUUACACAUGCAAGUCGAACGGCAGCACGGGUGCUUGCACCUGGUGGCGAGUGGCGAACGGGUGAGUAAUACAUCGGAACGUACCUUAUCGUGGGGGAUAACGCAGCGAAAGCUGUGCUAAUACCGCAUACGCCCUGAGGGGGAAAGCGGGGGAUCGCAAGACCUCGCGCGAUUAGAGCGGCCGAUGCCUGAUUAGCUAGUUGGUGGGGUAAAAGCCCACAAAGGCGACGAUCAGUAGCUGGUGUGAGAGGACGAUCAGCCACAGUGGGACGGAGACACGGCCCAGACUCCUAGGGGAGGCAGCAGUGGGGAAUUUUGGACGAGGGGGGCAACCCUGAUCCAGCAAUGCCGCGUGAGUGAAGAAGGCCUUCGGGUUGUAAAGCUCUUUUGUCAGGGAAGAAACACCGGCUCUAACACAGUCCGGGAAUGACGGUACCUGAAGAAUAAGCACCGGCUAACUACGUGCCAGCCGCCGCCGUAA
rnacentral:rRNA from 1 species